rnacentral:rRNA from 1 species
UUUGCCUACGGGGCGCAGCAGUGAGGAAUAUUGGUCAAUGGUCGGGAGACUGAACCAGCCAAGCCGCGUGAGGGAGGAAGGUACAGAGUAUCGUAAACCUCUUUUGUCAGGGAACAAAGACUGGGACGCGUCCCCGGAUGAGUGUACCUGAAGAAAAAGCAUCGGCUAACUCCGUGCCAGCAGCCGCGGUAAUACGGAGGAUGCGAGCGUUAUCCGGAUUUAUUGGGCGUAAAGGGAACGCAGGCGGUCUUUUAAGUCUGAUGUGAAAGCCUUCGGCUUAACCGGAGUAGU